AUGGCCUCCACUGCUGCCAGAUUAAUAUUCCGAUCAUCUUCUUCAGCCAGAUCAGCCUUUCGCAUUGCAUCGGAAGCAAAACCAGCUCGUUCCUCAUUCCGCACCACCUCCAGCAAACCCGUCUCGCCAUCACAAUCCACAUUCAGGUCCCCUGUUGAAUUGAGUUUUUGCGUUGAAUCAAUGAUGCCUUACCACACUGUCACUGCUUCUGCGCUCAUGAACUCCAUGCUUUCCAUUUCCAGCCGCAACUACGCUUGGCUUUCAGAAGGUAUUAUCAAUCAAACUGUUUGA
rnacentral:lncRNA from 1 species